rnacentral:lncRNA from 1 species
CCCCUUCGAACCAAACGACUUUUGUCUGAAACAUUUUUCUCUGAAACGACGUCGUAUCGAAAUAUUUUACUGACAAAUAUAAAAUGGGACACCCAUAUAUAUACGAAGAAGAUUCAUAAAAAUCCGUAAGAACUGCGCGUUACGUGAUUCGAUAUAACAACACGUACGUCCAGUUUAACGCAAUGUCGACUGUGUUUAUGCUGACUCUGCUUUAUAUUCGCUAAUAUUUAUGCAGUCAUUUUGCAUUCGCAGCGCGGCGAUACGGCGCGCAUUUACACGAAUUUAUUUUCUCUGCCCACCGCGGUGAUAUUACUGCGCAAUAAUUCGUCGCCGAUACUUUCGAAGAAUACAGCCGGCAGAAACGGUUCCGGCGACAAAAUGAUUACGUAAUGGCACCAAGGGUCUCAAAGGUCGCGUUAGACCGCGCGGAGAAACUGCAGGUAGUAAAUCGAGGUAAUCGGCUGGGAAUAAGGCGACGGCGCGUGUCGCCGCGAAGUGCAUUCCGGCGAAUACAUUUGUAUGCAAAUCCGUGUUUAUUUCCAGCCACGACGACGCCGUCACGCCGCUGAUCCGGCGAGAGGAGGAUCUCCUAUCGCCCGUGCAUGCGCGUGCGCGUUAUCGAGGAAUAGUUCUGUCGCGAUUAUUAACAGAUUAUUUCUAUUUUCGGACAGUAGUUAUUCGCAGAUGCCAUGUCGCGAGGUAAGUGAGGAAAUAAAAGGAAGUUGUUUUCUAGUCGUAGAUUUGUCCUGCCACACUUACACGGUGCGUCGCCGUGUGAGUGCUGAAAAACCAGUUCGUUGUGUGUUAAGCAAGUUCUCUCAAGAAAAAUUGUCAAAAUUCUACUAUUAAUUCCAUACAUUUAUAAUUUUGUCAUAAAUUAUUCAGAAUUUAUAAAGAAAUCAUAAAUGUGUAUGAAAUUGAUAGAAUGACAAUUUUCAUAAAUUAUUAUUUUUAUGAUAUAUAAUUUUCAUAAAUUAAAUAUCAUAAAAAUCCACGUGUUUACUUGAACAACAUAAUCCAUUUAAACUACAAACAUGUGAAUUUGAAACAUAAAUAGCAUAAAUUCUCCUCAAGGAUAUGUCGUUGCGUUUGUUGCGCUCUCAAUAGCGAUGCGUUGCAAUGGACUGUACGUACGGACAGUGGACAGUGCAAACUCAUUAUAAUGAGUACUGACAGGGUGAAAUUUCUCACGCAACGAAAGUUGAGAAAUCUUCUGUUGAUGCGCGGUAUCGAAAUGUUGCCGAGUCAAUCGAACGUGACGUCAUAACGCACUUAAUACGGAGUGAUUAUCUAACUUCUACUGUAAUCCAUGCAUACAACGUGCAUAUCUCAUCCGAAACGCAUGUAUAUAUGUACGAUCCAAAGUACAUCCGUGCGUUUUUCCAAUAAGCGAGUAUUCAUUAAUCAUGAACGUGACUAUUGAAUGUUUGGAAUAACAUUUUAAUUAACUGCCGAGUUUGUGGAACGGCGCGUUCGAUGCACUGGAUACAAUCUCACGCGUGAUAUAAAUAUAUAUAUAUAUAUAUGCGUCAAUAAAUAAUAAUAUAAAGUAAAUUAUAGUGCAAUAUAAAAUUCUUCGAAAUUUAUGAUAGGACAGUUGGACCAAGAGGCGGCAGGAGCAAUUUAAGCGGCAGGUGCGGCAGGCGGCGGCCGAAGCAUCGACCUGGUGGCUGAGGAAAGCUUCUGCGACACCAAAUGCGCGAUGUGCGACGACCUCUUCCAAACAAACUCCCGCGUUCUAUCGUGGUCGUCCUGGCUCUCCACUCGCACCUGAUUCCAGAGAAACAAGCUCGGCUUAAUGCGUGAAUGUAAAACAAACUUGUUUACGCCAAACAAGCGGAAACGAUCAAUGCGUUUUGAGAGAGGAAGUGACUGAUAAUGGCAUCAAAUUUAAACUUCAGAUUAUUAGUCGGUGCGUAAGUUCUUGCCGAUGGGUCGUUGGAUCGCCUCAAAAGAUGACUUUUUCUUUCGACGUGGUAUUUGCCGAAAAGAUAUGGGAAAAAGUAUAAAACGAUGAGUGAUUCGGAAGAGGAUGCAAGGAGAACAAGGAGCAUAGAUGAAGGGAUAAGAUGAUGGAAAGAUUGUGCUACUGUCCAGGUACAGUCGAUCGUCCAGAAAACCGUCCACCAACACGCGAUCAUCUACUGGCAAGUAAAAAAGGUACAGCUGAAGCGACAGCAGGCAAGGGCGGCUACGGUUUCUUGUGAGAAACGAGCGACGAAAAAAGAAGCAAAGUAAGAUCGGAAGCUAAGUUGAAAGAAAUCUAAGAAGAAGAAGUGCUACUAUCAAGUGCAUUCUGCAAAUAGCCAGAAUCUGGUCGCUGCUGCUGGUGCUUAAAGGGCUUAAAGCAAAAAUUACAGAAAUGAAACGUUCGCCUGGAGAACGAGGAGCGAAAGCAACACGCUCGAUCAUCAUCGAGCCGGCCGCUCGUCUAACUGUAAAUACCGGGCAACUUCCUCCCGCGGAUGGCAUAGCAAUGGCUACCGAUGGUCCGCCAGCAUCCGCUCUGUCUAAUGCCCGAAGCGGCGGCGUCGCCGUCCGAUUUUUAUACGAUACAUUCCAGUUUCUGGAACGUCGGAUUUCACGCUUCAAGACUACUCCCGACGAUCUUCAGAGAUAUGCGAUAUGCGAUCUUACGUAGUAUCUUUUUUGGUGCGUUCAUGAUAUUAUAUUUAAUCCGAUGGACUAUUGGGAGAGAUUCCGAUCUACGCAGACGAUGCGAGACACCAUAACAAUUUUUGAAAGUCUGCGUAAACUGAGAUAGAAAGUUAGAAAGAAAGACAGGCAGGAAGAAGAAAAAGUGGUACCGCGUCCUAAAAGGAACGGAUAUCUACGGAAGAAAAGAAAGAAGCGCGUCGAAAAUUUAAUUAGAGAUUUAAUGUGAGAAGCUGUGAAGUUAAAUAAACUGGUAACUCUGUAUCUUUUAAGUUUCAUUCUGAUUUUCUUAAGAUUCAAGAUUUAACUGUAAUUGAGAAAUAUCGUGGAAGAAUUUAUGUUUCACCAUAAAUAUCUUAAUUUUUAUUUGCCGAGAAUAUUUAAUGAUAUCCUGAAGAGAGAUUAUUUUUGUUCUUUAAUUCUUUUGGAAAGUUUACGCAGCCUUUCUUCACGGAGAGCGAUGUUCCAUUUCUACUAUUAUUGUGAUGACCGAUAUGGAUCUGUAAACGAUAGACAUCAAUAAAGUGCGAUUAAUACUA